AGUGAACGCUGGCGGUAGGCCUAACACAUGCAAGUCGAACGGCAGCACAGUAAGAGCUUGCUCUUACGGGUGGCGAGUGGCGGACGGGUGAGGAAUACAUCGGAAUCUACUUUUUCGUGGGGGAUAACGUAGGGAAACUUACGCUAAUACCGCAUACGACCUACCGGUGAAAGCAGGGGAUCUUCGGACCUUGCGCGAUUGAAUGAGCCGAUGUCGGAUUAGCUAGUUGGCGGGGUAAAGGCCCACCAAGGCGACGAUCCGUAGCUGGUCUGAGAGGAUGAUCAGCCACACUGGGACUGAGACACGGUCCAGACUCCUACGGGAGGCAGCAGUGGGGAAUAUUGGACAAUGGGCGCAAGCCUGAUCCAGCCAUACCGCGUGGGUGAAGAAGGCCUUCGGGUUGUAAAGCCCUUUUGUUGGGAAAGAAAAGCAGCAGGUUAAUACCCCGCUGUUCUGACGGUACCCAAAGAAUAAGCACCGGCUAACUUCG
rnacentral:rRNA from 1 species